GACGAACGCUGGCGGCGUGCUUAACACAUGCAAGUCGAACGAUGAAAGCUGGAGCUUGCUCCGGCUGGAUUAGUGGCGAACGGGUGAGUAACACGUGAGCAAUCUGCCCUUGACUCUGGGAUAACUCCGAGAAAUCGGUGCUAAUACCGGAUAUGACCCUUGGCGGCAUCGCUGGGGGUGGGAAGUUUUUCGGUCAAGGAUGAGCUCGCGGCCUAUCAGCUUGUUGGUGAGGUAAUGGCUCACCAAGGCGACGACGGGUAGCCGGCCUGAGAGGGUGACCGGCCACACUGGGACUGAGACACGGCCCAGACUCCUACGGGAGGCAGCAGUGGGGAAUAUUGCACAAUGGGCGCAAGCCUGAUGCAGCAACGCCGCGUGAGGGAUGACGGCCUUCGGGUUGUAAACCUCUUUUAGUAGGGAAGAAGCGAAAGUGACGGUACCCGCAGAAAAAGCACCGGCUAGCUACGUGCCAGCCGCCGCCGUAA
rnacentral:rRNA from 1 species